rnacentral:rRNA from 1 species
CCCUUAGAUGUCCUGGGCUGCACGCGCGCUACACUGAUGUGUCCAGUAAGCACCUAACCUCUUCCGAAAGGAACGGGUAACCUUUGCAAAGCACAUCGUGAUGGGGAUAGAUUAUUUCAAUUAUUAGUCUUGAACGAGGAAUUCCUAGUAAGCACAAGUCAUCAGCUUGUGUUGAUUACGUCCCUGCCCUUUGUACACACCGCCCGUCGCUCCUACCGAUUGAAUGUUCCGGUGAGCUCUUCGGACUGCGCGGUCUGCAGUUUCUGCGUUCCGUGCGGAAAGUUGCGCAAACCUUAACAUUUAGAGGAAGGAGAAGUCGUAACA